CCUACGGGAUGCAGCAGUAGGGAAUCUUUCACAAUGGGCGAAAGCCUGAUGGAGCAACGCCGCGUGCAGGAUGAAGGCCUUCGGGUUGUAAACUGCUUUUAUAAGCGAGAAAUAUGAUGGUAACUUAUGAAUAAGGAUCGGCUAACUACGUGCCAGCAGCCGCGGUCAUACGUAGGAUCCGAGCAUUAUCCGGAUUGACUGGGUGUAAAGAGUUGCGUAGGUGGCAUAAUAAGUAGCUAGUGAAAUCUGGUGGCUCAACCAUUCAGACUAUUAGCUAAACUGUUAAGCUCGAGACCGUUAGGGGUAACUGGAAUUUCUAGUGUAGGAGUGAAAUCCGUAGAUAUUAGAAGGAACACCAAUAGCGUAGGCAGGUUGCUGGGACGGUUCUGACACUAAGGCACGAAAGCGUAGGGAGCAAACGGGAUUAGAUACCCCUGUAGUC
rnacentral:rRNA from 1 species